rnacentral:tRNA from 1 species
GGAGAGGUGCGAGAGUGGUUGAAUCGAGCCGCCUGCUAAGCGGUUGAGGGGAGUGAUCUUCUCCGAGGGUUCGAAUCCCUCCCUCUCCGCCA